rnacentral:lncRNA from 1 species
UUUGUUUAAACCUGCUUCCAGAAAUGGUUCUAUAGAGUGACUGUUCUGCAGCUGGUCUCUUUCUAACAAGAAUGAUAGUAUGUCCUCUGUUGUUAUACAUCUUACAUCUGUCCGGUCGAGCAUAUGUUGAGUGUGUUUCAACCUUAGCCUUGUUCUGUUUUGAUAUAUCCUUCAAGUCUUGUCGUUUUAACAAGAUUAUCCUUUUUUUCUUCUCCAUAAUCAUAAG